UACGGAGGGUGCAAGCGUUGUCCGGAUUUAUUGGGUUUAAAGGGUGCGCAGGUGGUUUAUUAAGUCAGUGGUGAAAGUCGGUCGCUCAACGAUUGCAGUGCCAUUGAUACUGGUAGACUUGAGUAAAGUAGAGGUGGGCGGAAUUGAUAGUGUAGCGGUGAAAUGCAUAGAUAUUAUCAAGAACUCCAAUUGCGCAGGUAGCUCACUUGGCUUUUACUGACACUCAUGCACGAAAGUGUGGGUAUCAAACAGGAUUAGAAACCCUGGUAGUCC
rnacentral:rRNA from 1 species